UACAGAGGGGGCAAGCGUUGUUCGGAAUUACUGGGCGUAAAGGGCGCGUAGGCGGCCGCCUAAGUCAGACGUGAAAUCCCUCGGCUCAACCGGGGAACUGCGUCUGAUACUGGGUGGCUUGAAUCCGGGAGAGGGAUGCGGAAUUCCAGGUGUAGCGGUGAAAUGCGUAGAUAUUCGGAAGAACACCAGUGGCGAAGGCGGCUCACUGGACCGGUAUUGACGCUGAGGUGCGAAAGCGUGGGGAGCAAACAGG
rnacentral:rRNA from 1 species